rnacentral:lncRNA from 1 species
GGCGGCGGAAAAACCACCUUAAUUGGGGCGGAGGGUUAGUUUUAAGAGCAAAGGGCCUUUACUAAAAUGGCGAAGGCCUUCCGUCGGCGUUGUUUUAAAAUGGGAAGCCUCGACCCUGUAUUGAAACUGAGCUGUUCGAAGGCGGCGUUGUGUGCAAUUCGGAUUAAUGAAGGGGAAGGGUUUUGUGUGGAAAAACGCCUUGGAGUGUGACAUUUCUGCGAGAAUGCUUAAAUACCGAUUUCCCGCAGGAACAAUGGCGCUGUCUUCAGUGGCACAGUGGAGCAGCUCUGAAGAUGCAAAGAUACACGAAAAAACUUCCAGAACAUCUGGGAGAAUAUUUAAUGGAAAAUCGCUUGGUUAAAACCUGACACUCUUAACAGCGUUCUGAGUGUGGACGAGUAGCCAGUGAAGAUAAUGAAUGUCGAACGUGACUGACUAGCAGCUUCAUUUUGAAUGAGGGUCGCUGUCUGCCCAUUGAUAGAGGCCAGAUUGUCUUGGAAGUUCCAAAGUUGCAACGAUUUCUGGCUAGUGCCACGAGGUUUACUUGACUGUUGUGUGAAAAGCUGAUAAGAAAACCAUCCAGAAAAAAGCUCUUCGUUUUACAAACAUGAAAAUAAAACAUGUAAUUUUG